GUCUAUGGCCAUACUACCCUGAACGUGCCAGAUCUUGUCUGAUCUUGGAAGUUAAACUGGUUUGGCUUAGAUGGGAGAAAUGAAAAAUGUCCUUAAUGGGCUUGUUAAUAGACU
rnacentral:rRNA from 1 species